GGAGCUGGCCGAGUGGUUUAAGGCGCUCGCUUGGAAAGCGUGUAUGGGGGAAACCCCAUCGUGAGUUCGAAUCUCAUCCCCUCCGCCA
rnacentral:tRNA from 1 species